GGGACUUGGGCAGACACGAUUUCCUUGAAUCUGCUCCUGGUUUGGGAAUGUUUGUGACUGUUACAACUUACAGUGAUGAGGUAUUACUGUCAAAGUUAUAUGGCCCACAAGGAACAUUCUAUUUCACUUCACAUUCACCUGGCGAACACAUCAUUUGCUUAGAAUCUAAUUCUACAAGGCUUGUGUCAUUUGGAGGGAGUAAGCUGCGGAUCCACUUAGAUAUUCGAGUUGGAGAACAUGACCUUGAUGCAGCCAUUGCUCAAGCAAAGGACAAAGUUAAUGAAGUUAGCUUCAAGCUUGAACAUCUAAUUGAGCAAAUGGAGCAAGUAGUCA